ensembl:lncRNA
AGUGUUGAGCUGUAGUGUUGAGUGUAGUGUUGAGCUGCAGUGUUGAGCUGUAGUGUUGAGCUGUAGUGUGUAAGUGUUGAGCUGUAGUGUGAGCUGUAGUGUUGAGUGUAGUGUUGAGCUGUAGUGUGUAAGUGUUGAGCUGUAGUGUUGAGUUGUAGUGUUAAAGUGUUGAGCUGUAGUGUGGUGCUGUAGUGUUGAGUGUAGUGUUGAGCUGUAGUGUUGAGCUGUAUGUAGUGUUGAGCUGUAGUGUUGAGCUGUAGUGUUGAGUGUAGUGUUGAGCUGUAGUGUGUAAGUGUGAGCUGCAGUGUUGAGCUGUAGUGUGUAAGUGUGAGUUGUAGUGUUGAGCUGUAGUGUUGAGCUGUAGUGUGUAAGUGUUGAGUUGUAGCGUUGAGCUGUAGUGUUGAGCUGUAGUGUGUAAGUGUUGAGUUGUAGUGUUGAGCUGUAGUGUGUAAGUGUUGAGCUGUAGUGUUGAGCUGUAGUGUGUAAGUGUUGAGCUGUAGUGUGUAAGUGUUGAGUUGUAGUGUUGAGCUGUAGUGUGUAAGUGUUGAGUUGUAGUGUUGAGCUGUAGUGUGUAAGUGUUGAGCUGUAGUGUGUAAGUGUUGAGCUGUAGUGUGUAAGUGUUGAGUUGUAGUGUUGAGCUGUAGUGUGUAAGUGUUGAGCUGUAGUGUUGAGCUGUAGUGUGUAAGUGUUGAGCUGUAGUGUGUAAGUGUUGAGUUGUAGUGUUGAGCUGUAGUGUGUAAGUGUUGAGCUGUAGUGUUGAGCUGCAGUGCUGCAGGAUGUGUGAGGGACAGAGUAAGCCUGGACACAGCUGUAAACUGACCUGUCAGCACUGUUAUCUCACCACGGGUUGCCAGAUUGGAUUAAAUAAAUAACUCUACAUUUAUAAUCCACAUACUGGCUCAGAUCUUCCACAGAUCUUUCAUUCCUCUCCGUCCUCACGUCA